UACGAAGGGGGCUAGCGUUGCUCGGAAUUACUGGGCGUAAAGGGCGCGUAGGCGGAUACUUAAGUUAGAGGUGAAAGCCCAGGGCUCAACCCUGGAACAGCCUUUAAUACUGGGUAUCUUGAGUUCGGGAGAGGUGAGUGGAACUGACGAGUGUAGAGGUGAAAUUCGUAGAUAUUCGCAAGAACACCAGUGGCGAAGGCGGCUCACUGGCCCGAUACUGACGCUGAGGCGAAG
rnacentral:rRNA from 1 species